AGGCUUUGAUCCUGGCUCAGAAUGAACGUUGGCGGCGUGGAUUAGGCAUGCAAGUCGAGCGCGAGUCCCUGUUUAGCAAUAAGUGGGGAUGAAAGCGGCGAAAGGGUUAGUAACACGUAGAUCACGUACCCUCGGGUUCGGGAUAGGGGCGGGAAACUGCCGGUAAUACCGAAUAAUGUCUCCGGACCAAAGAUUUAUUGCCCGAGGAGCGGUCUGCGUCCUAUUAGCUUGUUGGUGAGGUAAUGGCUCACCAAGGCGAAGAUGGGUAGCGGGUGUGAGAGCAUGACCCGCAACACUGGGACUGAGACACUGCCCAGACACCUACGGGUGGCUGCAGUCGAGAAUCUUCCGCAAUGGACGAAAGUCUGACGGAGCGACGCCGCGUGCGGGAUGAAGGCCUUCGGGUUGUAAACCGCUGUCAGAGGGGAGCAAAUUUUGAGCGAUCCUCAGAGGAAGCACAGGCU
rnacentral:rRNA from 1 species